AGGGGUAUAGCUCAGUUGGUAGAGCAGCGGUCUCCAAAACCGCGUGCCGUGAGUUCGAGACUUACUACCCCUGCCA
rnacentral:tRNA from 30 species